rnacentral:rRNA from 1 species
CCUACGGGUGGCAGCAGUGGGGAAUAUUGCACAAUGGGGGAAACCCUGAUGCAGCGACGCCGCGUGCGUGAAGAAGUAUUUCGGUAUGUAAAGCUCUAUCAGCAGGGAAGAAAAUGACGUUACCUGUUUAAGAUGCCCCGUCUAACUACGUGCCAGAAGCCGCGGUAAUACGCAGGGGGCAAGCGUUAUACGGAUUUACUGGGUGUAAAGGGAGCGUAAGCGGCAGGACAAGUCUGGAGUGAAAUGGCCGGGCUUAACCCCGGAACUGCUGUGGGAAAUGUGGAGCUAGAGUGCGGGGGAGGUAAGUGGAAUUCGUAGUGUAGCGGUGAAAUGCGUAGAUAUGAGGAGGAACCCC